GACGAACGCUGGCGGCGUGCCUAAUACAUGCAAGUAGAACGCACAGUUUAUACCGUAGCUUGCUACACCAUAAACUGUGAGUUGCGAACGGGUGAGUAACGCGUAGGUAACCUGCCUGGUAGCGGGGGAUAACUAUUGGAAACGAUAGCUAAUACCGCAUAAUAUUGAUUAUUGCAUGAUAAUUGAUUGAAAGAUGCUAUUGCAUCACUACCAGAUGGACCUGCGUUGUAUUAGCUAGUAGGUGAGGUAACGGCUCACCUAGGCGACGAUACAUAGCCGACCUGAGAGGGUGAUAGGCCACACUGGGACUGAGACACGGCCCAGACUCCUACGGGAGGCAGCAGUAGGGAAUCUUCGGCAAUGGACGAAAGUCUGACCGAGCAACGCCGCGUGAGUGAAGAAGGUUUUCGGAUCGUAAAGCUCUGUUGUAAGAGAAGAACGGGUGUGAGAGUGGAAAGUUCACACUGUGACGGUAUCUUACCAGAAAGGGACGGCUAACUACGUG
rnacentral:rRNA from 1 species